rnacentral:rRNA from 1 species
GACGAACGCUGGCGGCGUGCCUAAUACAUGCAAGUAGAACGCACAGUUUAUACCGUAGCUUGCUACACCAUAGACUGUGAGUUGCGAACGGGUGAGUAACGCGUAGGUAACCUGCCUGGUAGCGGGGGAUAACUAUUGGAAUCGAUAGCUAAUACCGCAUAAUAUUAAUUAUUGCAUGAUAAUUAAUUGAAAGGUGCAAUUGCACCACUACCAGAUGGACCUGCGUUGUAUUAGCUAGUAGGUGAGGUAACGGCUCACCUAGGCGACGAUACAUAGCCGACCUGAUAGGGUGAUCGGCCAAACUGGGACUGAGACACGGCCCAGACUCCUACGGGAGGCAGCAGUAGGGAAUCUUCGGCAAUGGACGAAAGUCUGACCGAGCAACGCCGCGUGAGUGAAGAAGGUUGUCGGAUCGUAAAGCUCUGUUGUAAGAGAAGAACGGGUGUGAGAGUGGAAAGUUCACACUGUGACGGUAUCUUACCAGAAAGGGACGGCUAACUACGUG